rnacentral:rRNA from 1 species
GAUGAACGCUGGCGGCGUGCCUAAUACAUGCAAGUCGAGCGAACAGACGAGGAGCUUGCUCCUCUGACGUUAGCGGCGGACGGGUGAGUAACACGUGGAUAACCUACCUAUAAGACUGGGAUAACUUCGGGAAACCGGAGCUAAUACCGGAUAAUAUAUUGAACCGCAUGGUUCAAUAGUGAAAGACGGUUUUGCUGUCACUUAUAGAUGGAUCCGCGCCGCAUUAGCUAGUUGGUAAGGUAACGGCUUACCAAGGCAACGAUGCGUAGCCGACCUGAGAGGGUGAUCGGCCACACGGGAACGGAGACACGGUCCAGACUCCUACGGGAGGCAGCAGUAGGGAAUCUUCCGCAAUGGGCGAAAGCCUGACGGAGCAACGCCGCGUGAGUGAUGAAGGUCUUCGGAUCGUAAAACUCUGUUAUUAGGGAAGAACAAAUGUGUAAGUAACUAUGCACGUCUUGACGGUACCUAAUCAGAAAGCCACGGCUAACUACGUG